UACCACUUUCUAAAUAACCAUUGGUUUGCGAGCAAAUGGCACUCGCAAAAAGACCAUUGUCGCAUUGGCUUCCAUUUCGAGUACUGAUGUGCUCGCAACUUUGGUAGUAGUUCUUUGUAAAUAAUUUGUUUGGCCGCAUUUUAUAGCAAAUAUUGGCGCAAGAUAAAACCCAAUUUAUUUUAAACAUUUAUCUUCAUCUCCCCUGUUUCCGAUAGUCACACGCCGCUGCGUUCGUGGCCUUUCGACGAAAAAAAAGUCCACCACCACCGAUCUGCGGCCUAAGAUGCCGAUGACUCUAGAAUAACUUUCGGAAUUACAGACCUCAACGGAAACCUAGUUUUCAGGAUCAGAGGAAAAGUCUUCAGCCUCCACAACCGCCGUCUUGCUCGACGCCGCCGGUAACCCUAUCAUCACCUUCCAGCAAAAGGAGAUGGCAGGUUUUCAGAGGAGAGUGGAUUCAAAGAAUAUGCUUUUUUUAGUGUGAGAAAGUCAUCGAUGAUUCAGUUCAAGACGAAGCUGGAUAUGUCCAUGGUUGCUAAUUCCAAAGAGGAUCGCUGUGAUUUUAGGAUUGAAGGCAGCUGGUUUGAGCGAUCAUGAGCCAUAUACGCCAGAGACACCAAUAAUGACAUUGCUCAAGUAAGAUCCAGAUUUAAAACCUCUUUUUUCUCUAAUUUAAAUCUAUCCAUUAAUGAUGUAACUAUGACGCACUUGGUUUAUGGUCUAUCUUAUUCUUCAUCUGCUUUACUCAAUGGAUUCUACUACUAAUUGGCUUCAUUCGAUCUUUGUUGAGGUAAUUCUGUAUCUAAGAGUCUUACCACCAUUAUGUGAUUUGCACAACUAACAUAACCCCUUGACAAAUUGUUUGGGUUUUAUAUUUGCUUAGUGACAAGUAUUUUAUAUGAUGUUGUUGGAAAACUCCAUGUUUCUAGACAGAGGCCAAAAAUAUUGUGAGUGAUCAAAGGUCUAAACUAUUGACAAGUAGAAGGGCACAGAGGCAUAAGUUAUGAUAUACCUUAAGGAGCUCAAACAAGGAAUUUGCACCCUUCUUCAAUCAGAUUUUACAAUUUUGAAUGCCAAGAAAGCCGUUGUCUAAUUCGGCCUUUUCAAACAUGGCACCAAAACUAAACUGUUGUAGAUGUUUACAAAGACAAAGUAUGAGGCUUACUCUAAUAUUAAGUAGUAACUCUCAGGAUGUAUUCCGGAUUACUCCCUGCAGCUAUUUCACUUAUAGCAAGAAAAUGUCGACGGCUCCUCCAAUGUUAUUCAAACGAACGGAUGCUCGAAGACGGUGGUGCUGAUAGAGGCGAGCAGGCUCAGAGAAACAAACUGCUGCAUUGGUAGAACAAGUGAAAAGCCUUUAUUCAACAAUUCCUACAAAUGAAAGGAAGCUAAGGAUAGAUUAAGCAAUGUAGACUCAAUGAAGUGUGUAAAACAAUUUUAUUUAAUUGAAUACAUUUCUGAAUUCCAUUUA